UUCGCCCUUAGAGUUUGAUCCUGGCUCAGGACGAACGCUGGCGGCGUGCUUAACACAUGCAAGUCGAACGGAAAGGCCCUGCUUUUGUGGGGUGCUCGAGUGGCGAACGGGUGAGUAACACGUGAGUAACCUGCCCUUGACUUUGGGAUAACUUCAGGAAACUGGGGCUAAUACCGGAUAGGAGCUCCUGCUGCAUGGUGGGGGUUGGAAAGUUUCGGCGGUUGGGGAUGGACUCGCGGCUUAUCAGCUUGUUGGUGGGGUAGUGGCUUACCAAGGCUUUGACGGGUAGCCGGCCUGAGAGGGUGACCGGCCACAUUGGGACUGAGAUACGGCCCAGACUCCUACGGGAGGCAGCAGUGGGGAAUAUUGCACAAUGGGCGGAAGCCUGAUGCAGCAACGCCGCGUGCGGGAUGACGGCCUUCGGGUUGUAAACCGCUUUCGCCUGUGACGAAGCGUGAGUGACGGUAAUGGGUAAAGAAGCACCGGCUAACUACGUGCCAGCAGCCGCGGUGAUACGUAGGGUGCGAGCGUUGUCCGGAUUUAUUGGGCGUAAAGGGCUCGUAGGUGGUUGAUCGCGUCGGAAGUGUAAUCUUGGGGCUUAACCCUGAGCGUGCUUUCGAUACGGGUUGACUUGAGGAAGGUAGGGGAGAAUGGAAUUCCUGGUGGAGCGGUGGAAUGCGCCUGACGCUGAGGAGCGAAAGCGUGGGGAGCGAACAGGCUUAGAUACCCUGGUAGUCCACGCUGUAAACGGUGGGUACUAGGUGUGGGGUCCAUUCCACGGGUUCCGUGCCGUAGCUAACGCUUUAAGUACCCCGCCUGGGGAGUACGGCCGCAAGGCUAAAACUCAAAGGAAUUGACGGGGCCCCGCACAAGCGGCGGAGCAUGCGGAUUAAUUCGAUGCAACGCGUAGAACCUUACCUGGGUUUGACAUGGAUCGGGAGUGCUCAGAGAUGGGUGUGCCUCUUUUGGGGUCGGUUCACAGGUGGUGCAUGGCUGUCGUCAGCUCGUGUCGUGAGAUGUUGGGUUAAGUCCCGCAACGAGCGCAACCCUUGUUCACUGUUGCCAGCACGUUAUGGUGGGGACUCAGUGGAGACCGCCGGGGUCAACUCGGAGGAAGGUGGGGAUGACGUCAAGUCAUCAUGCCCCUUAUGUCCAGGGCUUCACGCAUGCUACAAUGGCUGGUACAGAGAGUGGCGAGCCUGUGAGGGUGAGCGAAUCUCGGAAAGCCGGUCUCAGUUCGGAUUGGGGUCUGCAACUCGACCUCAUGAAGUCGGAGUCGCUAGUAAUCGCAGAUCAGCAACGCUGCGGUGAAUACGUUCCCGGGGCUUGUACACACCGCCCGUCAAGUCAUGAAAGUUGGUAACACCCGAAGCCGGUGGCCUAACCGUUGUGGGGGAGCCGUCGAAGGUGGGACUGGUGAUUAGGACUAAGUCGUAACAAGGUAACC
rnacentral:rRNA from 1 species